AUUGAACGCUGGCGGCAUGCUUUACACAUGCAAGUCGAACGGCAGCGCGGGCUUCGGCCUGGCGGCGAGUGGCGAACGGGUGAGUAAUGCAUCGGAACGUGCCCAGUAGUGGGGGAUAGCCCGGCGAAAGCCGGAUUAAUACCGCAUACGACCUGAGGGUGAAAGGGGGGGACCGAAAGGCCUCGCGCUAUUGGAGCGGCCGAUGUCGGAUUAGCUAGUUGGUGGGGUAAAGGCUUACCAAGGCGACGAUCCGUAGCUGGUCUGAGAGGACGACCAGCCACACUGGGACUGAGACACGGCCCAGACUCCUACGGGAGGCAGCAGUGGGGAAUUUUGGACAAUGGGGGCAACCCUGAUCCAGCCAUGCCGCGUGCGGGAAGAAGGCCUUCGGGUUGUAAACCGCUUUUGUUCGGGAAGAAAUCCUCUGGGCUAAUACCCCGGGGGGAUGACGGUACCGGAAGAAUAAGCACCGGCUAACUACGUG
rnacentral:rRNA from 1 species